rnacentral:rRNA from 1 species
AGGACGAACGCUGGCGGCGUGCUUAACACAUGCAAGUCGAGCGGUAAGGCCUUUCGGGGUACACGAGCGGCGAACGGGUGAGUAACACGUGGGUGAUCUGCCCUGCACUCUGGGAUAAGCCUGGGAAACUGGGUCUAAUACCGGAUAUGACCUGCUCUCGCAUGGGGGGUGGGUGGAAAGAUUUAUCGGUGCAGGAUGGGGCCCGCGGCCUAGUCAGCUUGUUGGUGGGGUAAUGGCCUACCAAGGCGACGACGGGUAGCCGACCUGAGAGGGUGACCGGCACACGUGGGACUGAGACACGGCCCAGACUCCGUACGGGAGCAGCAGGUGGGAAUAGUGCACAAGUGGGACGAAGCCUGAUGCAGGCGACGCCGCGUGAGGAUGGAAGGUCCGUUCGGGUACGUAACCUC